rnacentral:rRNA from 1 species
AUUGAACGCUGGCGGCAGGCCUAACACAUGCAAGUCGAACGAGUGGCGGACGAGUGAGUAAUGUCUGGGAAACUGCCCGAUGGAGGGGGAUAACUACUGGCAACGGUAGCUAAUACAGCAUAGCCUCGGAUGUGCCCCGAUGGGAUUAGAUAGUAGGUGGGGGAAUGGCUCACCUAGGCGACGAUCCCUAGCUGGGCUGGAAGGAUGACCAGCCACACUGGAACUGAGACACGGUCCAGACUCCUACGGGAGGCAGCAGUGGGGAAUAUUGCACAAUGGGCGCAAGCCUGAUGCAGCCAUGCCGCGUGUAUGAAGAAGGCCUUCGGGUUGUAAAGUACUUUCAGCGAGGAGGCGUUACUCGCAGAAGAAGCACCGGCUAACUCCGUGCCAGCCGCCGCGGUAAUUC